CCUACGGGAGGCAGCAGUGGGGGAUAUUGCACAAUGGGGGAAACCCUGAUGCAGCGACGCCGCGUGUAGGAAGACGGUCCUCUGGAUUGUAAACUACUGUCCCCAGGGACGAAGAUGACGGUACCUGGGGAGGACGCUCCGGCUAACUACGUGCCAGCAGCCGCGGUAAUACGUAGGGAGCGAGCGUUGUCCGGAAUUACUGGGUGGAAAGGGAGCGGAGGCGGGGAUGCAAGUUGGGUGUUAAAUCUACCGGCUCAACUGGUAGUCGCACUCAAAACUGCAGCUCUUGAGUGAAGUAGAGGCAGGCGGAAUUCCUAGUGUAGCGGUGAAAUGCGUAGAUAUUAGAAGGAACACCAAUAGCGUAGGCAGGUUGCUGGGACGGUUCUGACACUAAGGCACGAAAGCGUAGGGAGCAAACGGGAUUAGAUACCCGGGUAGUC
rnacentral:rRNA from 1 species